GCAGCAGGCGGCAGGGAGGAAGAGAAAGAGAGAGAAGAAAGGGAAGGAAAGAAAGAAGAGAGAGAGAGAGAAGCGGGCCGUUUUUCGGCCGAUUCCGGCCACCAACGCCGGCGAUCCAAGGUGCCACCAACCCCCCACGAACCUAGCUCCAUUUUCCGACCAGCCAUGCCCGGAAUGGUGGAGUUUCCGACGAGUUUCGAAGAGAGAGAAAGAGGAGAGAGAAAGUAACGGCAGUGGCUUUCCGGCCACUUUUCCGGCGAUCCGACAGUCGGAUCGGAAAUCCGAGGCCACCGAUGGACUCAGGACGACGAGAUCUUCGAGAUAGGACUGGUCCCGCUCCGAUCGGACACUGUUUGAAAAAGGCGAUAAUCGGACGGUCCAGAUCGCUUGGUGCGAUCGGAUCGAGGAUAGCUCACCGGCGUCGGGACUGCAUUUUCAGCCAGAUCCGGCUGCCCGACGGCCCGUCUCAGAACGUGGUCAAUAUUACAGUCAAUCCUAGCAUUUUCAGACGUUCUGGACGCGUUCCAGGUGUCAGAAUUGGCAUAGGUAAACCCGAACUCCAAGUUGCUCAUUUUCGGCUAAUAUCGAUUUAGAAUAAAAUUCAUAAAA